rnacentral:tRNA from 1 species
GUCCUCAUAGCUCAAGUGGAUAGAGCACAGGUUUCCUAAACCUGGUAUGUAGGUUCAACUCCUACUGGGGACA